rnacentral:misc_RNA from 1 species
GGACGAGGCGGUGGCGGUGGCGGUGGCGGUGGCGGAGGCAGUGGAGGCGGAGGAGCGGACGAGGACAGAUUUGGUGAAAAGAGACAGAGAUUGAAGGCUGUGGAAUUGGGAGGAGAGUCUCUGGAGGGUCGAUAUUGCCAUUUUUGCGGGCGUUCUGAUGAAUGGGGAUCCAGUGCGGGCUAAACUGCAGUUGCUCGGAAACAGAACGGGUUUCUCUACGGUUUUUUGCUAGUACAGUGCGAACAAUUGAUCUUCACUUUACCUCAUGCGAUUGCCACUCG